UCUCUGAGCUCUGAAUCAAGGCUAAAGCCC
rnacentral:piRNA from 1 species